GCAUUCCUGGCUUCAAGUGAUCACCCGCCUUGGCCUCCCAAAGUGCUGGGAAUACCGGCGGGAGGUACCGCGCCCAGCCUCCUUCACUUUUCUGUGACUUCCAGAGCAGACAAUACAUAAGACACCGGGAGAGAUGCCUGCAGGUGAGUAGACAGGGUUCUCCUUGGCUUCCUUUGAGUCUCAAGGAAGUCACUGAAGCAGCGGGCCCAGCUGCCUUUUACGCCUCACGCCAGCCUCCAGACACACCCAUUGCACCAUGUACUGCUACUUGGCAAACUUUGUCACGGAAAUCCAAUGUUUCCAGUUUCUGGGUCCCGAAACUCUUCCCAUGCAAGCUCUAGGACAAUCUCUUUUUCUCCAGUCUCCACUUCAAGGCUCAGUUGUUUUCCACCUAUGGCCCUUAGGGCCAGCCCGAGGCUACACUUGCCAGCCAGAGAGGCUGCGGCAAGCAGCGUUUAUGCUCCAUAGUCCCAGGUGAGGAAGACGAAGCCUUUUUUGUCAUAGAUCUUCAUUUCUUUUCUUAAAUGUCUUUUAAAAAUAUGCCUAUGUAAUUUUUUAAAGGAUUCGAAAUCUAUGUAGCCCAGUAAUAAGCCCUUAGUUUGUAACUUCGAUUGUAUUUUCUUUGGAUUAUCAUUUGCCGUUUUAAAACCUUGGAUAAAAUCUGUGUAUUUCCUUUAUGAUUUCUGACAUCUCUAUCCUGCCUGGAAAUCCUUUUACCUUAGUAAUAGGCAAAUGCACCUAUAUAUCAUACCAGCACGACAUUGAAACCACCAGCUCAUAACCUCAGCGGGUAACCUUGUUGGUUUACCCAGCAGGAGUAAAGCCUGCCUCGGAAAUCUGAGGGUGGCCGCGAACCCACAAGUCAAGAUUCGCAGGUGCGCGCGCUAAGGACUGAGCUAUUGGGGCGAUGGAGAGAGUCUCGCUCUGCGUCAGGGACGGAAGGACGUGUCCCCCACCAGAAAAAGGAAAAAAAAAAAAAAAAAAAGAAAAAAGAAAAAAGGAAGCGGCGGCUCGUUGGUCUAGGGGUAUGAUUCUCGCUUUGGGUGCGAGAGGUCCCGGGUUCAAAUCCCGGACGAGCCCCCUUUUCCUUCUCUUUUUUCCCAUUUCGCAUUUUCAGCAAGGACAGGAGACUAGGAAGGCGGAGGGAGGCUGCUAUUGGCAGGGCCUCAGUGGAGACCUCCCGGGGUCCCGGGACGCAGACGGACGGGCCUGAAUCGCUCGCCUUGGUGAAAUGGGAUCCAGCGCUGCCAACUGCGGCAACUGCGGUUAAAGGAGACGACCCCGUGCAGCAGGAGGAGGUUAUUUAGAAUAAGGAAGAAUGCGCCGGGCUCAUUGGUCGCUACAGGGGCAUAAAUUUUUUCUAGGAUUCCAGAGUAUGGCUGCUCCAGUCCCAGAUUCGGCUCGACUUACAGACCUCAGCGCAGGACGUGGACGCCCUGCAAAGGAGGACAUUUCAGCGGACGGCAGAGAAUACAGAUUUAUGCCAGCGCCCUGCGGAAGGAGCCUCUGGCGGGUCAUCUCCAUUUAUGGGAGAUCGCAGAGCGGUGAGCAAAGUCUUGCACCAGCGGGGAUGUCGGGGUGGAACUGAACCUGUUGUAGGGGACCCCCAGUGUGCCCUGGUUUCUGGGGCUGAUUCAUUACGUCACUUAGUUUCUACUAUUCUCAUGCCACCCCGCCAAUUACUAGACAUAAAACGUUCCCAGGGAAGCCCGGCUAGCUCAGUCGGUAGAGCAUGGGACUCUUAAUCUCA
rnacentral:lncRNA from 10 species